CGCAGCCUGAUCAGCCAUGCCGCGUGAGUGAUGAAGGCCUUAGGGUUGUAAAGCUCUUUCGGCGGGGAAGAUAAUGACGGUACCCGGAGAAGAAGCCCCGGCUAACUUCGUGCCAGCAGCCACGGUAAU
rnacentral:rRNA from 1 species